ACGAUUAAAGCUCUCUUCGGAGAGUGUAUAGAGUGGCGCACGGGUGAGUAACACGUAAGUAAUCUACCCUCGAGUGGGGAAUAACGUUCGGAAACGGACGCUAAUACCGCAUAAUGCAGCGGCACCGCAAGGUGACAGUUGUUAAAGGAGUAAUUCGCUUGAGGAGGAGCUUGCGGCAGAUUAGCUAGUUGGUAAGGUAACGGCUUACCAAGGCUACGAUCUGUAUCCGGUCUAAGAGGACGGUCGUACACACUGACACUGAAUAACGGGUCAGACUCCUACGGGAGGCAGCAGUCGGGAAUUUUGGGCAAUGGGCGAAAGCCUGACCCAGCAACGCCGCGUGAAGGAUGAAGUAUUUCGGUAUGUAAACUUCGAAAGAAUGGGAAGAAUAAAUGACGGUACCAUUUAUAAGCUCCGGCUAACUACGUGCCAGCAGCCGCGGUAAUACGUAGGGAGCAAGCGUUGUUCGGAUUUACUGGGCGUAAAGGGCGCGUAGGCGGCGCGGUAAGUCACUUGUGAAAUCUCUGAGCUUAACUCAGAACGGCCAAGUGAUACUGCAGUGCUAGAGUGCAGAAGGGGCAAUCGGAAUUCUUGGUGUAGCGGUGAGUGCGUAGAUUUCAGGAGGAACACCUGAGGUGAAGACGGGUUGCUGGGCUGACACUGACGCUGAGGCGCGAAAGCCAGGGGAGCAAACGGGAUUAGAUACCCCGGUAGUCCUGGCCCUAAACGAUGAAUACUUGGUGUCUGGAGUUCAAGACUUCGGUG
rnacentral:rRNA from 1 species